UUGACCUCGGAUCAGGUAGGGAUACCCGCUGAACUUAAGCAUAUCAAUAAGCGGAGGAAAAGAAACCAACAGGGAUUGCCCCAGUAACGGCGAGUGAAGCGGCAACAGCUCAAAUUUGAAAUCUGGCCCCCCCCGCGGGGCCCGAGUUGUAAUUUGCAGAGGAUGCUUUUGGCGCGGCGCCUUCCGAGUUCCCUGGAACGGGACGCCAUAGAGGGUGAGAGCCCCGUCUGGUCGGACGCCCAGCCUCUGUAAAGCUCCUUCGACGAGUCGAGUAGUUUGGGAAUGCUGCUCUAAAUGGGAAGUAAUAUGUCUUCUAAAGCUAAAUAUUGGCCAGAGACCGAUAGCGCACAAGUAGAGUGAUCGAAAGAUGAAAAGCACUUUGAAAAGAGGGUUAAACAGUACGUGAAAUUGUUGAAAGGGAAGCGCUUGUGACCAGACUUGGGCGCGGCGAAUCAUCCGGCGUUCUCGCCGGUGCGCUUCGACGCGCCCGGGCCAGCAUCAGUUCGCGGCGGGGGAUAAAGGCGCCGGGAACGUGGCUCCCCCGGGAGUGUUAUAGCCCGGCGCGCAAUGCCCCGCGGCGGACUGAGGUUCGCGCAUCCGCAAGGAUGCUGGCGUAAUGGUCACCAGUGACCCGUCUUGAAACACGGACCAAGGAGUCGUCCUCGUAUGCGAGUGUUCGGGUGUCAAACCCCUACGCGCAAUGAAAGUGAACGCAGGUGAGAGCCUCACGGCGCAUCAUCGACCGAUCCUGAUGUUCUCGGAUGGAUUUGAGUAAGAGCAUACGGGGCCGGACCCGAAAGAAGGUGAACUAUGCCUGUGUAGGGUGAAGCCAGAGGAAACUCUGGUGGAGGCUCGCAGCGGUUCUGACGUGCAAAUCGAUCGUCAAACAUGGGCAUGGGGGCGAAAGACUAAUCGAAC
rnacentral:rRNA from 1 species